CCUUUUCAGCUGAUAACAAGACUCUGGGCAAAUGUAAAGCAUAGCUGGCAUUUUCCAGAGUGAACAGCUCCUGCCCUGUUGAAUUUCUGCCUAUUCUGAAGCCCUGAAUAGAAAAAGUUCUGCCAGAGAAAGGAAGGGGAAAGGCUGCAGCCCAGUGACAGAGCACUUGAAACAAAAAUUGUUUGAGAGAAAACAAAGGCUUGGCAUCUGUUGUCAGACUCCAUCUCCCAUCAGCCCAAGCAAGCACGACAAAUGGUCAGGAAUGGUAAGUUUUAUCAUCCAACAGCAUCGUUUGCUACUUUGGGGAUCAUAGGCACCUUGUCCUGAAUUCUUCCAGUAUGUUCUGCCUCCUGAGUCAAUGUUUUUCACCUGUUUCCCAUUAGUUGACCUUGGGAUUAUAGUAACAAAAGAAGAAGCAGAUAUAAAUAAAGUCGAUUGCACAAGCCUAGCAUCUGCCAACACUUGAAGCAGAGGGCAGCUGUCGCUCAUUGUCAUUUCUGCCAUUGCUAUUCACUUCCACAAUCCCUUCUGGGCCAAACAAUAAACAUCAGGGAGAAGAAGCAGCAGGACUCAGAUGCUCUCAGUGGUGGGAUCUUUUCUGUGAGGUGGCACCUUGGCAGGUGCUCAGCCAUUUUGACCUCUGGUGCCAGUUCCAGGCAUUCUCUACACCUUUUGGGGAAAAAGAACCACACGGCACUACAUAAUUCUUGCUCAAUCUCCGUGUUUCUCUUUGGAGACAAACAUCACCCAGCUACAAAAGAAUGGUUAGCAUGGUUCUGUUAAAACGAUUUGAUAAAUAGAUGCAUUAACUAAAAAUUAACUAUUAAUUGACCAAGUGGGGAAAAAAGAAUGCUUAAGAUUAAUGAAGGAAUUUCAUUUGAAAUGCAAGCAUUGUUGUGGUUUGGCUGAUAAUUCAUUUCAUUUCUUGUAACAGAUGGCAAUGGUAGCUUAUAAGAUAAGAGCACGGAAACAAGAUGUUAAUAAAUAUUGAACAAAAAAUACAAGUAGUACUAAAGAGAAUCAUUGCUGAUCCUUGCUUUGUAAUAAUGGAGGAUCUUUCAGGAAAUAAAAGAUUUUAAACAGCUAUAAUUCUAAUUCUUUGUGAUUGUUCUCUGGCAAUUUCAUCAGUAUAAAACCCAUGUAUACGCACUUACCUGGGAUUCCCAGAGACUUGGGUAGCUUCCAGACACCCUCCUUAUUAAGCAUUUAUUCUGACAUGUUUGCAGAAAGUUUAUGUGGAGGUAAUAGGAUGUCUGCUGCUUAUAGAGCAUUCGUUCUCAUUUGUUUGCAGGGAAAUUACAUGAUGUUCCGUCAAGCUAACGUUACAACACAAUUUCCAGUGCAUAUUCCUGUCACCUUCCUUACAGCAGUUGAUUUUUUUAAAAAAAUUGGUUUGUUGCAAGAGCAACAAAUCCACUUUAAUUCUUCAACCUUAAUUUGUUGGUAUGUGAUUUAAUCAUCCCUCAAAAUAGCAACAGCCUAGAUGUGGCCUUACUCCCUCUGCCCCAAGGUAGCUUUCAGAUGAUCACUAAAUUGCAGGAGCAAUUCAGUCACAUACUUGGAAAUGUAGAUUCGCCUACUUUAAAUGGAUUUAAUAAACUCCGGCAGUAUUGUGCAACAAAUGUCAUUCAAAAAGCAAACAAAAAUACUUUUUUCAGCAAGGAAAGUGAUGGUAAAAUGCCCUAGAAAGUGUGGGAUAGCAACUGAUUUGCAGGGAACCAUAUAACUUCUCUGCAAACAAAUAAAGAUGAAUGCUCAGUAAACAGUGGACAGCAUAGAGUGUCUUCAUAAACUCUGUGCAAACAAGUCAGAAUUACUUCUCAAUAAAAUAGGUCAACUGGAAGCAACCAUAAUAGUUCAGUUUGUGGGUUGGGUUUUUUCUUGCAAUAAGAACUAGCAGCAAUAAAAGGAAAAUAUGCCCUCCCAAUCAAUAAUACAUUUUUAUUUUUUUGCAGUAAACCUUUUUGCAGAAAAUGGGAAAUAGUAAUGCUUUUUAAAAUAAUAAUAAUAAUAAUAAUAAUAAUAAUAAUAAUAAUAAUACAUUUUAUCUAUACCCCACCCUUCCCAGCCAAGACCGGGGUCAGGGCAGCUAACAACCGAUAAUAAAAACAAGUUGAUUGAAAUGCAACUUAAAAAACAAGAUUAAAAUAAAAAAAUCUUCCAGGUUUCACUCCUGCCACCCAUGUAAGCAAAAAUACCUCAUUUUUUUGUUUGGUUUUUGUUUACUUUUUAUUUCUACUUUAGAACACAUAGCAAGGAUUUGGACCACAUAGCUCUGGCACCAAAAGGUUAACAGGUUAUGAAAAUCACAGUACAGUUUUUAAAAUUCUUCAGAUAAGUCAAUGAUAUUUAAAAUGAUAGCCACUUUUUUCUUUCUUUCUUUUUUUAUAGUAAAGAUAUAAAUUAGAGGUCUGUAAACGAGUCGUGUUUACCUACAGAGCUAUCAACUCGCAGCUACAAUGAGAGCAGCAAUAGAAAGUCAAUGCUAAACUGAGCUAGGUCAGGAAACAAGUUCUUAAUCAACAGUGCGAUACAGGGAAAUACGAUAGGUCAAAUUACAGUUUUGGCACCUUAUGCUGAAUGUCAUCAAUAAUAAAAAAUAUAGUAAUAACCAGGCAAAAAUGAAAUGAAAUGAAAUAAGUGCACUGUCUUGGAACCAAGAUAAAACCAGCCAUUUCUCAGGUUGUUUCUACAAGUGGACACUAUGAAAUUAACCACACCCUACACAAGUUGGACCUCAAAAACUACAGUUCUAGGAAAGCAGGAAUAUUAAAAUGCACACCCACAAGGAUAUUAAAGUAUAAAUCGUCCCCCUUGACACCCCCCCAUGCCCUGUUAGUAGAAAUAAUUUACAAUCCACAAAGGGACUUCUGGGCAAAUCAUUAACUACAGACAUUAAUGGAAUGUAGCUUAGACUUGUUUCAUAUAGAAAGGCAGCGUUACCCUGAAAAAAGUUUGGUCCUCUUUAAACUCAUUGCAGUGCAGCCAUUACAGACAGUCCCAUGGUAGAUGCUUUAAAGUAUUUCUUAAAUACAGCUUAGAGACACUGGGGGGGGGGGUUGGAGAGAGGGAAAAUGGCCCCAUUUAGGUUUGCUUGGCAAGAGUCUGAAAGAACCAAGUAGCAAGAGGAGGAAAUCAGGGCAAAUCCUCGUUUGGUGAUCCCACAGUAUCUCGUUUUGUGCAAUUGUUAUCGAAACUUUCCUUUCUGUUUUUCUUCCUCUUCUAACCCCGCCCUUCAUUUAGUACCACAGAAAACAAAACCCUCAGUCAAUGACAGGAAAGACAUUUCACUCUUUAUUUACAAGAGAGUCACUUUGGCUAGAAGGUCCCAGCUCAGACAGAAACGUUUCUAAUCUUUGUGUAUAUCCUCGUGGCGUAUAAUUUUGUACGUAAUCCAGUAAAAUAUAUUGAAGAUGAGAAAGGCCAGCGGGAAGGCCGCUCGGGAUAUGGUGUCGAUCCUUUUGGCACGGUCCACAAACCUCUUUUUGAUGGAAUCGGAAUCCUUUGGCGGCGGGGGCGGGGGCAGGGGCGGGUUGGGAGGCGUGGCUUUGAUGGCAGCGCCAUCUUUCACCUGGAGGCAGUGACCCAUCCCAUAGCCGCCAAAGUUAAACCGGCUGUCGCGAGCAGCAUCUUCAUCCUGGAGGGUAAGCAACGGAAGGGAAAGGCGGUUAAUCGUCUAUGCAAAUCUCAUUUAAGUUUUCACCCUUAGCUGUUGAGCAAGAGCUCUGUUCAUAAUAUCGCUUUCCAAAUGGGCAGCGCCACAAUAUUUCCGACAAAAGAACACUUGGAUAUCCUCUAAUUCUAUUGAUUUCGCCAAUGGAGUGGUGGACAGAUGUCAUGACCAGACCAUAGGACCAUAGGAAACGGCCUUGCCCCAUUUAGUUCAGUACUGGCAGUGAACAUACCCUUCAGCAAGCCCAGGCCAAAAACUGUGAUGCACGUCUUCUGAGCUGUGUUCUCAGGCAAGUCAUGUGACCUGUGUGAAAGUACGGAGGCCCAAAACACAUGUGUUUGGGGCCCUGUGUUCUCACAUGUUUUUGAGUGCCAUGCUUUCAUGUGAGAGCUCAGGGCCCCCAAACAGGAUGUCCCAAUUUAAUUAGGGCAGUUGAGCGGUAUCCAUGAAAAGCAUUGAAGAAGAAGAGAAGAAGAGUUUGGAUUUGAUAUCCCACUUUAUCACUACCCGAAGGAGUCUCAAAGUGGCUAACAUUCUCCUUUCCCUUCCUCCCCCACAACAAACACUCUGUGAGGUGAGUGGGGCUGAGAGACUUCAAAGAAGUGUGACUAGCCCAAGGUCACCCAGCAGCUGCAUGUGGAGGAGCGGAGACGUGAACCCGGUUCCCCAGAUUAUGAAUCUACCGCUCUUAACCACUACACCACACUGGCAUUGGGAGACCUUGGGCCAGUCACUAUCUGCCAGCCCAACCUACCUCACAUGGUUGCUGUGAAAAUGAGAUAACUCCCCAUGUGUGGCAUGUUAAGCUUCUCAAAGAUGGAUUAUGAGUAGCAGUUUUAAUAUUAUGCAAAACAACACUGGCCUCCUCAAAACAAUCCUAAGAACUGUUAUUCUGUAAAGGGUGCUGAGAAACUUGCUUUUAGAGGUUUCUUUCUCUUUCUCAACAACAGCCCCUUUGCAAUGUCCUGUACUGACAAAAUAUGAAGCCGGUUUUCAUUUCUGUUGCAGACCUGAUCUGACAUUUAGACAUCCCAACACAACUCUUUGGCACAUGUAAUUUGCUUAAUAUCAUAGAAUAGAAUCAUAGAAUCAUAGAAUUAUAGAGUUGGAAGAGACCACAAGGGCCAUCGAGUCCAACCCCCUGCCAAGCAGGAAACACCAUCAGAGCACUCCUGACAUAUGGUUGUCAAGCCUCUGCUUAAAGACCUCCAAAGAAGGAGACUCCACCACACUCCUUGGCAGCAAAUUCCACUGUCGAACAGCUCUUACUGUCAGGAAGUUCUUCCUAAUGUUUAGGUGGAAUCUUCUUUCUUGUAGUUUGGAUCCAUUGCUCCGUGUCCGCUUCUCUGGAGCAGCAGAAAACAACCUUUCUCCCUUGGAUAGCUUGGGUGGUAUUCAACUAAGUUUUACUCAGUGUGGACUCGUUGAAAUUAAUGAGCACAACUAAGUUAGAGCCUGUCAUUUCAGUGGGUCUACUCUGAGUAAUACCAUCCCUUUAGUAGUUCCACAUAAGUCUUCUGCAUGCUUCUGUGUAAGUCUUCUAUGAGUCUAAGUCAGGCUUCCUCAACUUCGGCCCUCCAGAUGUUUUGAGACUGCAGUUCCCAUCAUCCCUGACCACUGGUCCUGCUAGCUAGGGAUCAUGGGAGUUGUAGGCCAAAAACAACUGGAGGGCCUAGGUUGAGGAAGCCUGGUCUAAGUGCUCAGCACCCCAAAGAAAAUAAAAUUAUAAAUUGGAUGGAUUUUUCCUCCCUUCCAAAAGGUAGCUAUUUGAUUUAUCUUCCACACCAAGGGAAACAUGCCCUGGUAAAUUUGCAAUGAACUGAGUUCCUUUUAAAACCUUUAAUAGCACUUGCAUAAGCAUAGAGCGAAGCUGCAUUCCCAGGACGCUUUUCCUGUUCCUUAGUGCUGCACGCAGAAGCAAUGCAAAUCCAGGUCAGAAGGUUAAUUAAAGGAGAACAGGUUCUCAGCAGCCACUGUUUUGUGUUUUAAAUUUAUUUGGAAACUCUCAAAUAUGCUAAUAGCUUAUUAUAGGAGACGUUCAUCUGGCUUGUCCAGAUUUCCCCAAAAAUAAUGAGCUUCUACUUUACACAUGCCAGCCUGGAGUUCCUGAUGAAGGAGGCGACAGCAAUUUAGAGAGACUUCCUUAUGUGUGAGUCGCUCCCUCACACACUCUUGCAGCACCUCCUCACACUGUCUUGGGGAAACUACCGACUAAUUCCUGUUGCUUGCCCUUUGCUUAGCACUGCAAGCUCUGGAAAGUGACCUUAAUCUGACAGUUAAGGAUAAAUAACUUGCCUUGUUUAUUUUUUUACUGGUGGGAGCUCGGAUGGUCAUUGCUAAACAAUGGUAGUCAUGUAUAAUAAUAGUACAUGGUACACAAUAAUGGCAAUCAUGGUUCCAUAAUGUCUGGGUUGCAGUCCUACCCAGACGUCUUACACAACACAGGCGGGUGGUGAGAGGCGAAGCGAAUAAAGAUUGGCUAGGAAGUGCGGUUUUAAAUGUUUCCCUUUAUUAAUUAGGACUCAAAAUUCUCAGGCCCUCCCAAGACCCAUGCCUCCCUUUGUAGGGGCUAUACUGACCCAUAAUAAUCAUGCAAAUCAUCUAGGAAUGACUCUUUUAUUAUAAUUUGAUCAUUUGCUGUGAUCUAGUCUGACUCUGUAUCAGGAAUUCUAUCAUUUUUGUCUGUAGGUGGAUUCUGCUAUGUAUGUAUACUCAAGGUUGCUCUAUUUUAUUUUUUGGAAAUCAAUAAAAAUAUAUUUUUUUUAAAGAGAAGAAACCUUCGAAACCCUUCCAGGGCCAUAGGGUUGUUAUGCUAAUGUAAUAGUUUUCUCCAAUUCCCCCCCCCCCCCGCUCAUUCUGAGAAUGGAAGUUUAGGCAAGGAUAUUGAGAAUUAUGUUAUAGGUUCAUAUCCAUCUCAAAGAAAUACAGUUGCCAGGAGAAGAAACCGCUGCUUCACCAGAUUAAUAGCUGUCGUACCCAUUAUACAGAAUGAGGUGCAAGACUGACAUGCAGGGAUGGGUACAUCUGUGACUUAUGCUUUUUAUCCAUUUCUAAUUUUUCCAAUCUUCAGUUCUGCACGUUUCCACACACGUUUGUGAAAUUUUAAAACAAUCCUCAUGAAAAUUCACCAGCAACUUGGUGCAAAUUUCUCCUGAUACAUAUCUGAAUGCAAUUUUGCCUAAUAAGUUUCUGUAACAUAAUGAAAUUCUUUUGUAUGUUAGUUUCAUUAAUGUAUACAUUUUUAGGCAUACUUGAUCCUAGCACUCGCAUUUUUGUACAUGUUACUUGGCUGGUGAACUGCAUUGCAAAAUUCAGGUAAUUUGAAGGAUGGCUAUUUUUGCUUCCUGGAAUGUUUCAGAAAACAUUAAUUAGGUAGGUUUGCCUUUAAACAGAAACCAAAUUGAUUUUCUCCUCCAUCCCUACUGACAUGGGAGCAUUCUAGACUAUACCACCUCAGUAGAGGGGUUAUUCUUUUUGAAUCCUUGUUCACAUUAAAAAAGAAAAAAUAACUCACUCUGGGUCUAUGGUAAACCUUUCCAAAUAAAAAUACUGAUUGCAAUGUGGCAAAGUAGUUACAUCAGGGAGAGAAGUUUAGCAUGUUUCCCCUCUCCCCCAACCAAAAGCAUUCAAAAACAUGACACCCACCCACACUCACCUGCAGUCUGAAGUGGUACAGCCCAGAAUUCUACCACAUCACUCUACCCACCACCUCAUUCUGAAUAUGCAGAUUGGCUCUUUAGCAUUGAUAUGCCCUGAGGAGAUGCUAAAAGAGGAGUGUGGGAGGAAAGUUCUGAGCUUUAAAAAUGGCUUGUCAAGCAGAUGAAGGAUCUGUUGGGAGGAGACUCAGAAGCCACAUCGUUCAUGGAGGGCUUGCUAUGCAGCCUUUCGGAUCAUGACCUAUGACUGUGCCAGCUCCCUUUCCUCUACCAAUCCCCUGCUUUCUUUUUUAAAAAAUUAAAUUAUAUGCAUGUAGGGGGUUACGAGAUGUUGAGAGAUGCUUCUUUCCCUCACAGGGAGUCAGAAAUUUGUGAACAGGCAACUCAGAUAUUUUCUUUGAGCAGCAUGUGCACCAGCAAUUAUAUGUGCAUUAGAAACAUAUUAUUUUGCUGGGGUACACAGAUUUAAAGACAAUAUAAUGGGAGUGGAUGGGGAAACCCAGCCAGAUGGGCGGGGUAUUAUGAUUAUAAUUACGAUGAUUAUUUAGAGCAAAUUUUGUGGCUAGCCCACUGUCCUUCAAGAACACAUACAUGAUAAAAAAUAGGUCCUUGGGAAAAGGCUAUUUCUUGCCUCCCUGCUGGCACUUGGCUAGGAAGUCCCUGAAAGCCUCCAAAAUGGUAUGUCUUGUCCUAAUUAUCCAAAAUAUGAUGGGGAGGGGAAAUAAUGAAUCCUUGCCCAGUAAGAAUAGUGCAAACAAGUCCAGUGCCAACAAUUCCUGCCCCCCCCCCGCAAUCCCAUCUGCCCUGAAUAUUAAACUCUAUGCCAGUUUUAAACAAGCAGCUGUGGUAACACAUGUUCAAGAGAUAAGUGAGACCUGCUUUAGCUUUGAGACUUAUCUCCAGCAAACUCCUAACAUGUGUUUUCCUCCCAAUUACCAACGCAUCUUGCAGGAAGAAGGCUCAUCAAUGCAAUUGAUCGCUGCUGCCUCAAGUCUGCAGAUCACCUCCUGCUAAUUUAAAUGAGGGUAUUUCGAGCACUUUGGAAGAUAGUGCUGUGUGGGUGUCCUUCCUAUUGCUAAAUUGAUAUCUGCGUCUGGGAAAUGCAGGCUUCAAGUAGGCAAAGAUAUACUGAAAUAAAUGUACGGAAAACACUUCAACGGUUAUGUACAGACG